rnacentral:rRNA from 1 species
UACAGAGGGGGGCGAGCGUUGUUCGGAAUUACUGGGCGUAAAGGGCGCGUAGGCGGCCUGCUAAGUCGAACGUGAAAUCCCUGGGCUCAACCCAGGAACUGCGUCCGAUACUGGUUGGCUUGAAUCCGGGAGAGGGAUGUGGAAUUCCAGGUGUAGCGGUGAAAUGCGUAGAUAUCUGGAGGAACACCGGUGGCGAAGGCGACAUCCUGGACCGGUAUUGACGCUGAGGCGCGAAAGCCAGGGGAGCAAACGGG